rnacentral:misc_RNA from 1 species
UCCUGGUUCCCCAGGCAGUCCCACCAGAGUGCCUCCGAAGAGUAGCAACUGAUGGCAAGGGUUGCGCUCGUUAAAGGACUUAACCCAACAUCUCACGACACGAGCUGACGACAGCCAUGCAGCACCUGUGUAACCGUCUGUAUUACUACAGAACCCGAUGUUUCCACCGGUAGCAGUUACAUGUCAAGCCUAGGUAAGGUUCCUCGCGUAGUGUCGAAUUAAACCACAUGUUCCACCGCUUGUGCGGGCCCCCGUCAAUUUCUUUGAGUUUUAAUCUUGCGACCGUACUUCCCAGGCGGAUCACUUAACGCGUUAGCUUCGACACUGAUCCGGCGAACCGAACCAACAUCUAGUGAUCAUCGUUUACAGCGUGGACUAC